rnacentral:tRNA from 1 species
GGAAGGGUGGCCGAGCGGUUUAAGGCACUGGUCUUGAAAACCAGAGAUGGGAAACUAUCCGUGGGUUCGAAUCCGACCCCUUCCG